rnacentral:rRNA from 1 species
GACGAACGCUGGCGGCGUGCUUAACACAUGCAAGUCGAACGGAAAGGCCCUGCUUGCAGGGUACUCGAGUGGCGAACGGGUGAGUAACACGUGGGUGAUCUGCCCUGCACUUCGGGAUAAGCUUGGGAAACUGGGUCUAAUACCGGAUAGGACCGCACUUUAGUGUGUGUGGUGGAAAGUUUUUUCGGUGUAGGAUGAGCUCGCGGCCUAUCAGCUUGUUGGUGGGGUAAUGGCCUACCAAGGCGGCGACGGGUAGCCGGCCUGAGAGGGUGUACGGCCACAUUGGGACUGAGAUACGGCCCAGACUCCUACGGGAGGCAGAAGUGGGGAAUAUUGCACAAUGGGCGCAAGCCUGAUGCAGCGACGCCGCGUGGGGGAUGAAGGCCUUCGGGUUGUAAACUCCUUUCGCUAGGGACGAAGCUUUUUGUGACGGUACCUAGAGAAGAAGCACCGGCUAACUACGUG